rnacentral:lncRNA from 1 species
ACACACAAAGCCAGCAGCAGACACACACCCAUCCAGCCACCCACAAACACAUAGAUAUACACACAGACCCAUGCAUAGCCAGCACCCCCCCAACACACACACACACACACACACACACACACACACACACACACACACACACACAGAGUUUGUGGAAAGGGGACAGUGAUCAGCUCAGGACAGCUGCAGCAGCCUCAGAUGGUGGCCCCUGGAGCAAUGCAGGACGUACACAGAAGGGACUGGGUUGGAUUUGGAUUGCCUUAAGACUGUUCUUCACAUGAGAGUAGACAAGGAUAAAACUUGUAGGAACCAGAUGGAUCCUCCAAACCACGAGGGGGCAGCAUUUCAAGCUGACAUGAACUGGAGAGGUAGGUCAUUGAGCAUGCUA